ACCUAUAAUUACUCUCUAAAACUGUCUAUAUCUACCUAUAAUAACAACCAACCCACAAAGUUCCCACCCAAUCCAGCCCAAUCAAAACCAACCCAAUCCAUGUUUAAUCCAAUUCCAAUUAAGUCUGUCAACAAAGACCAGCCACCUCCCAAAAAAUUCAAGAAAGAAAAAAAAACUAACAGCGUAAACAAAAAGCCCCAAGCCCAAACCCCAAACCCAAAAAGUCCUCUAAAGGCUAAAAGCCUCUCAAUAAGCUCAGGGCCUACCUUUAUAUUCUAGCAACUAAAAAUCAACCACCAACUCAUGCCCAGCAGUCAACUUUCCCACCACUUCCAGCCCUAACUGUCAGCAACUGACAGACCACAACAGUCAGCAUCUGAUCCCCCUCCCCAAAUUGUCAGCAACUGACAGCCCCAAUCAAUUGAUGCUGGUCAAGCAAGGGGCUCCAGGGUUCCUACUUCCUGUCACUGUGAGCUGGUUAAUUCCUACACAUUGCUAUGAGUUGUCAAAGUCCAGUGGCAGGACAAAAGUCAAGAGGACCAGCAAUGGCUUGGGAUACAGUGGAUGACCUUAGCAUCUUCAUUUUCUGACCAAGCUUUAAGUGCUUCUCAGAGUCUUCUUCUACCACAUUCAUGGCUAUUGGAAUGAAUUGUUUUUAUCUGUUCAUUCCAUAAAGUCUUCACAUAUUUUGAGUAGAUAACCCUCUUAACUCACA